rnacentral:rRNA from 1 species
CCUACGGGUGGCAGCAGUAGGGAAUCUUCCACAAUGGGCGAAAGCCUGAUGGAGCAACGCCGCGUGGGUGAAGAAGGUCUUCGGAUCGUAAAACCCUGUUGUUAGAGAAGAAAGUGCGUGAGAGUAACUGUUCACGUUUCGACGGUACCCCAAUAGCAAGCCACGGCUAACUACGUGCCAGCAGCCGCGGUAAUACGUAGGUGGCAAGCGUUAUCCGGAAUGACUGGGCGUAAAGGGUGCGUAGGUGGGUUAGUAAGUUGGCGGUGAAAUGCCGGGGCUAAACCUCGGCGCUACCGCCAAAACUAUUCGAGUAGGGUGCAGGAGGGUAAGUGGAAUUCCUAGUGUAGCGGUGGAAUGCGUAGAUAUUAGGAGGAACAUCAGGGGCGAAGGCGACUUACUGGACUGUAACUGACACUGAGGCACGAAAGCGUGGGGAGCAAACAGGAUUAGAUACCCCAGUAGUC